rnacentral:ncRNA from 1 species
CUUCCGCCUUCCCCGCACAGGAAGGCGGGACCGAGGCAUCCGGCGCCCUCUGCCCUGACCGCGCCGCUGCCUCUUCCACGGCCGUACGGGACCGCACACCCGUCCGGCCGUAGUAACUCCGGGCUGCGGUGCCGGACGGGCUGAGGGUCCCGUCCCGGCGC